UUUGGAGACAUUCUUACCAUUAUCUGCAGGUUCGCUUUCGCCCAGCUCUUGAUGCAGUCUCUCCACCAGGUCUCGGACCUCCUCCUGAUCAGCUCGAAGGUGUGCAGGUCCAGGUUGCCGAUAACGUACGUAUAGUCCUCAUUCAUGAUGCCUACUUGCUGGGCCUGCCUUAGGAGCUCGGCCACGCCCUCUCGGGAGCCCACAACCACAAUGCGACUGUCCUCUGAUUUUCGUAUGCGUCGCAGGACCGACUUGUAGUUGCCGUUCAGAUUGAGAUCGUAGCGCAUGACCUUAAUCACGGGCCCCUUGAUGCCGUACAGUGUCAUAAGAUGGUCCAGAAUGGCCAAGUAUUCGGCUGGGAUUGGAAUUAGAUCUCAUUAGAUCGAUCAAACGAUAUUUUGAAGUGGACUACUUACGGGACUCGUAGCAGAAUAUGAAUCGUGACCAAUCAAACUGCUUGAUGAUGCCGUAGAGAGCGUUUGCAAUGUCCUCCUGAUGCGGAUGCAGGUUGAAUCCAUCCGCUUGGGCAUUCCCCGAGAGAUGCGGAUACACAAAGGAUUACAAGACAAGUCCCUGCUCACCUGCAUCAUGUUGCAGAGUUGGGCAAAGGCCUGGACCGAGUUCCCAUAGGACACCUGCUCCGUUUGGCCCACCAGCGGGACGCUCAGCUCGUUGUUCGCCACGGAGAUGGCGUGCUCAAAGGUCUGCCGGAUUCUGUCCGUUUCGUCGUCUGUGAUAAGGCCUGCAUGCUUUGUUUGAGUGAAAGUUUUGGAGGGAGAGCCAAAUGAGUGGACUACUCACCGAGGCGUAUGGCCGAUCCGCUGGCUGCACCAUAGGAGCUGCCUCCAUAAGUCUGUCCCUGCACCCGAUUGAGGCCAAGAAUUGCCAGUAAAAUCAACCAGAACUCCAUUUUAAUCAGUAAUGGAAACAAUAUGUGACAAUUUUUCCUUGCAGCAUGCCGCUUUCUCGGCUAUUUCUGAUUGGUAUAUAUAAAUAUAUACAUAUAUUUUUGGAACACCCACUAGCGAACGUUUUCUGAAAUGUUCUUAAGCUGUCGAGCGCACGUUCACAACUGAAUGAAUUCUCAAAAUUUCCUUCGAAAAUUCCACUCGAAAGUUUUCCAAAUUUUGUUAAGCUUUUUGUCCCGCACCAGUGUUGAAAUAGUCCACGAAAUAUUGAAAGUUUGUGUAUUUUUGUUGUCAUUUACAUAUAUAUAAUUAGAUUAUCACAAACAUAAAUGGUUUCAUUAACUAAGAUAUUGCAAAUUAGAAGUAAAAGUAGUUAAUGCCUAGGAAAAUAUAUAAAUUGCAAUUU